rnacentral:lncRNA from 1 species
GUGAUGACGAGAAACCGACGUCACGUGUUGUAAACGCCAUGCACUACGCCCAACACAUAUAGAAUAAAACAGCGAGUCAACGUUACGAGCCGCGCAUUGACCUCAAAUACACCCCGAAGGAAAAAGACAAUUCUGUUGAUGCAAGAGAAAGAUGAAAAAAAAAAAUUGAACGAGUAUGGAAACCGCUUUAACGAGGUCGAGAUAUCACAUUGCCCGGUUAUAACCAGUCCAAGAAGAUGUUCUCGUAUUAUGAUCAGAGUUUAUCAAGAAGGAGUCGAUCUUGCUGUUUUUCAAACGAUAACUAGUCGUCACCGGAUUCCGAACACAUUUACGGGAAUAACAACAACAUAACUAAGACGAGACGAACAAAAGGGAAAAAAGAGGAAAAAUGAAACAAAUUCUACAGAUUCGACUCGAAGCAAAUUAGUUAGUCCAAAUGAAUUUCAUUUGAAAUUCAUACUAGAAAGUGAUGAAACGACAGCUGUUAUCCGCGACAGCUGGACCGGCCUCGCCGCUUAAAUAUAUUCCAAACAAUUCAAUGACGCGCGUUGGAGGAUAGAAAAAAAUCGACGCAUUUGACGCAAAUGUCUGAUUCACGAAUCAUACGAAAAGAAAACUUAUCAUCCAACGAAAAAAUAACCUAUCGAUGAUUCGUCUAUUUGUAAUCAUCAUUCGCAGCAACGAGAAACCAAUAAGAGGUGACAAAGGGUUGGCAAGUAUAAAACAAGAUCAAAGUUUUUCGACUUACAAAGUAUCCGCUUUUGUAAAAUACGCGUUUAAUAUCGGAUUAGUUUUCGUAUUACGAUUACUCGUCGCAUUUGUAAGCCUCCUAUGAAAUUCGUUUUAGCAAGAAUCAAGAUGCACGCUCUAUCCCAAGAAAACGCGCAUCGGACGAGCAAACACGUGCUGCGCGUUGUUUACCGUUUUCGAUGCAAUAAGUGGGAAUACAUUAUUUUCGUCAAAUGACAAAACGACGACGACAACUACGACGACAAGAGCAACUAUAAAAAGCACUCGAGAAAAGUCAAGCUCGUUCGAGAGCUCGUUCAAGAGAUCGUUCGAGUUACAGCCUACCUUUUAAAUACCACGCCGCGUCGUUUCAAUAUACAAAUUACAUUUAUUAUACAUUUAUUAUACAUUUAUUAUACACACGCAUUAUACACAUGUAUUAUACAUGCAUAUUCUACAUAUCCUGAUCGAGUUAUUAGCGAAUUACUUUGUUAAAUAAAAAUUAAAAACAAAAUAAUAUAACAUAUUAUCGAUAUAUCAUAGAAUAUAAAUAUGACAAAAACUAAAGAAAAUGAAAUAAGAACAAAUAAAGAAUCUGACUAAAGACGAUUCGAUCCGACCAAAGAAGAGAGGGACCGCUUUCGAAGAUACUAAUAGCACUGCGCGAAGUCCAAGUUGAUAUCCAAUAGCUCUUUUAUUCGUUGGAAACUGGAAAUAAUCGUGAGUCGUCGAAUCAAGCUCUCGUGACGCGUCGGCUUGUGUCAAUAAAUCUCGAUUCGUGGCACGUGACGCAAGAAAAAGAGAUCCCCCUUGUAGACUCCGAUAAGGAGAGUUAAAAUAUUUUAAAUAAAGAGACGGAAAGAAAGAGGGAGGGGGGACGAUCGUAUUCACUGCUCGAACUGAUAAAGCGCGGAAAUUGAUAAAGCGUGCGUGUGUGUGUGUUUAUGUACGCGUGUCUCUCUGUUUCUCUAUAGGAAUUACGUACGUCUUAAUAAAAUUCGUGCCAUC